rnacentral:rRNA from 1 species
AAAAAAGGUAAGCUACUAAGAGCGAAUGGUGGAUGCCUUGACUGGUAAAGGCGAUGAAGGACGUACUAGACUGCGAUAAGCUACGGGGAGCUGUCAAGAAGCUUUGAUCCGUAGAUUUCCGAAUGGGGCAACCCAAUGUAUAGAGAUAUACAUUACCUAUAUAGGAGCGAACGAGGGGAAUUGAAACAUCUUAGUACCCUCAGGAAAAGAAAUCAAUAGAGAUUGCGUCAGUAGCGGCGAGCGAAAGCGCAAGAGGGCAAACCCAGUGCUUGCACUGGGGGUUGUAGGACUGCAAUGUGCAAGAGCUGAGUUUAGCAGAACAUUCUGGAAAGUAUAGCCAUAGAGGGUGAUAGUCCCGUAUGCGAAAAACAAAGCUUAGCUAGCAGUAUCCUGAGUAGGGCGGGACACGAGGAAUCCUGUCUGAAUCCGGGUCGACCACGAUCCAACCCUAAAUACUAAUACCAGAUCGAUAGUGCACAAGUACCGUGAGGGAAAGGUGAAAAGAACUGAGGUGAUCAGAGUGAAAUAGAACCUGAAACCAUUUGCUUACAAUCAUUCAGAGCACUAUGUAGCAAUACAGUGUGAUGGACUGCCUUUUGCAUAAUGAGCCUGCGAGUUGUGGUGUCUGGCAAGGUUAAGCAAACGCGAAGCCGUAGCGAAAGCGAGUCUGAAUAGGGCGCUUAGUCAGAUGCUGCAGACCCGAAACGAAGUGAUCUAUCCAUGAGCAAGUUGAAGCUAGUGUAAGAACUAGUGGAGGACUGAACCCAUAGGCGUUGAAAAGCCCCGGGAUGACUUGUGGAUAGGGGUGAAAGGCCAAUCAAACUUCGUGAUAGCUGGUUCUCUCCGAAAUAUAUUUAGGUAUAGCGUUGUGUCGUAAUAUAAGGGGGUAGAGCACUGAAUGGGCUAGGGCAUACACCAAUGUACCAAACCCUAUCAAACUCCGAAUACCUUAUAUGUAAUCACAGCAGUCAGGCGGCGAGUGAUAAAAUCCGUCGUCAAGAGGGAAACAACCCAGACUACCAGCUA